UCUUAGCUCCCUCUGCUGUUUCUGAGAACACAGUGCCCCAUUUCUUUCCAAGGCUAAAACCUCUCUGGCAACAGAGAACCCGGCUGUUAUGGAUUCAGCAGUUGACGAUUGACCUCCAGCAGGUCUGGGCUUGAUGUUCACCGAUUUUCCCUCAGCAUCGACUGUGGCUCCUCUCAGCUGACUCUGACCCUGCUCUCAGCUGGGCUGCAUCUGCCCAUCUCAGCACAUCAAUAAACAGCAGAGGGAAACUACCACCUUGGAAUGAGCCAGGCAGUUUCUGCUGGGCAGGCUGCAGCCCAGAGCAUGGAAGUAGCUUCUUCCAUCCUACACUGGAAACCACCCAGCAUCCCGGGCCCUCCAGAAAAGAGCCAGACUCCCUUCCCUGGGAAGAGACUAUAGUCCUAUCUGUAUCCUCCGUGGUCAUUGCCCCUCAGUCACAGCAAUGAAGAGCAAAUUACCUGUUUUCUGUAGGUUCCUCUGACAACAACUGCCACAGAGUAAAUAUGAAAGGUUCUGGA